rnacentral:rRNA from 1 species
AUUGAACGCUGGCGGCAUGCCUUACACAUGCAAGUCGAACGGUAACAGGUUAAGCUGACGAGUGGCGAACGGGUGAGUAAUACAUCGGAACGUGCCCAGACGUGGGGGAUAGCUCGGCGAAAGCCGGAUUAAUACCGCAUGUGAUCUGAGGAUGAAAGCGGGGGACCGUAAGGCCUCGCGCGUUUGGAGCGGCCGAUGGCAGAUUAGGUAGUUGGUGGGGUAAAGGCUUACCAAGCCUACGAUCUGUAGCUGGUCUGAGAGGACGACCAGCCACACGGGGACUGAGACACGGCCCAGACUCCUACGGGAGGCAGCAGUGGGGAAUUUUGGACAAUGGGCGAAAGCCUGAUCCAGCAAUGCCGCGUGCAGGAUGAAGGCCUUCGGGUUGUAAACUGCUUUUGUACGGAACGAAAAGGCGCCUACUAAUACUGGGUGUUGAUGACGGUACCGUAAGAAUAAGCACCGGCUAACUACGUGCCAGCCGCCGCGGUAAUAC